CCUUGUACACACCGCCCGUCACACCAUGGGAGUUGGUUGUACCAGAAGUAGGUAGUCUAACCGCAAGGAGGGCGCUUACCACGGUAUGGUCAAUGACUGGGGUG
rnacentral:rRNA from 1 species